AUGAACUUGAAGGUGGCCGUGAAGCGGGUGUUGAGGGACAAGAAGGAACACACCAAUCGGGGAGAAAAGAAGUUUGUGGCGGAGGUGAACACGAUCAGCAAGCUAUCGCACCGGAACCUCAUGAAGCUGAUCGGCUGGUGCCACAAGAAGGGCGGGCUGCUCCUCGUCUAUGAGUACUUCCCCAUGGGCAGCCUGGACAAGCUCCUUUAUGCCUGAGAAAGGACCACGUUGUCAAAGCUUACCUGGGAAUGGCGGUAUAGGAUCAUCUGCAGCGUAGCAUCAGCGCUGGACUACCUGCACCACAGCAACAACAAGAGGAUCCUCCACAGGGACGUCAAGGCCAGCAAUGUGAUGCUGGAUGUGGAGUACAACACGUGGCUGGGGGACUUCAGCCUCACCCGCGUCAUCCAGCACGACGACGCCACGCACCACUCCACGCAGGUCGUGGCAGGGACCCACGACUACAUGGUGUACGAGAGCUUCUUCACCGGCCACGCCAGCCUCGACAUGGACGUGUACGCAUUUGGGGUGUUCGUCAUGGAGGUGGUCAGCGGGAGGAGCCCCAACAACGCCGUCGACCACCGUGGUGAGGAGGAUUACUCGGGCGACGGGGGAGCGCGACACCCCUUGCCGAUGCACAUCGUGGACUGGAUGUGGAGGCUGUACAGUGGAGGGAAGGCCUUGCAUGCCGCCGACCCUUUGCUCAGCGGCGAGUUUGACCAGGCGCAGGUGGACUGUGCGGUGAGGCUGGCGUUGGCGUGCUACCACCCGAACCCGAGGGAGAGGCCGUCCAUGAGGACGGCGGUGUAGGUGUUGAUCGAUGGUGCCCCGGCGCGAGAGUCGCCGGUUAAUAAGCCUGUGUUUGUUUGGCCUCCGGGCGACAAUCAGCGGGAGAUGGAGUUGCCGGACGUCGGGCUGCUGUUCACGGGAGGGGCUAGGCAGCACAGCAAUUUCUGCUCCUUGACCUCCACCUCCCUCACGGGGAGGUGA
rnacentral:rRNA from 1 species